GGGGAUAUGGUUUAGUGGUAUAACGCUUCUUUAGCACUUGAGUUUCGUUACUCUGUGUAAUAUAGAAGAGGUCCGGCGUUCGAUUCGCCGUUUCUCCA
rnacentral:tRNA from 1 species